GCAAGCACUUUGCCACUGAGCCACAACCCCAGCCCCUCAUUGUGAUUUUGAUUUAUGUUUCCCUGAUCAUUAGUGAUGUUGAAAAUUUCUUCAUACUUGUUUUUGUAAAUAAAAUGAAGGCAACUAACCUUAUAAAGAAAAUAGAUUUGGGGGCUGGGGUUGUGGCUCAGUGGUAGAGUGCUUGC
rnacentral:miRNA from 1 species